UCAGAGAGAUGGUUUAGGUUUGGUAUUUCUAAAAAUUCCCAGUAUAUUUCAAAAUUGUUACUCCUCCACGCCGCAGGCCGCGCACGGUUACCGACCUAACCCGCACGCCGCCCGACGCCGUCGCCGGCCACCGACCUUGCGCGGGCGUGUGGAGGAAGGAUGACGUACACAGCGAUCGACACGUUCUACCCGCCGGCGGAGCAGCUCCGGGAUUCGCCGUCCCGCCGCGACGGCGUCGACGAGCCCGCCGAGGCCUCCCUCCGCGCCUACGGCUGCCAGCUCGUCCAGGAGGCCGGGAUCCUGCUCCGAGUGUAUCCUCCCCUGAAUCCCUAAACCCGUCCUCCUCCACCGCUUCUCCUGCAAGCAGUCGCUCGCCCGGAUCAGCGUCAAGAGAGUCGCGGCGACGUGCGUCUGGCUAUCGUCGAAGCUGGAGGAGAGCCCCAGGGGAUUGGAGAGCGUCAUCCGCGUGUUCCAUAGGAUCGAAUGCAGGAGGCACGGCGUAGGAUUUUAGUUACCGGCAAAGUGAAAUAACAAAUCCUUGUUUGUUGUCCUGCAGGAAGAACUGGUCACGGAUCUCUCGAGGCUGGAGAGACGCGUGCUCAAGGAAUUGGGCUUGCGCACAACUCUCUGUGUGAGAUUCAAGAGCGAGGUAGUAGCAUGCGGGGUUAUGUACGCUGCGGCCAGGAGAUCCGGAGUUCCCCUUCCAGAAGACCCACCGUGGUGGACGCUAUUUGAUGCUGACGAGGCAGGGAUUCAGGAGGUCUGCAGAGUCAUCGCUCACCUCUACAGCCUUCCUAGCCCACAGUACUUACCAGUUUGAUAGAAGUUCAGCCAUAGCUAGAAUUUUCUGAAUUUUGUAGUUGCUAGAUUGAACACUUGAUAUACCAAUGUCUGAAGCUAUCUUCACGAUAACGAAAUCAGGAUGUGUCACUGCAUCACUCUUCAUGUUGUGUGCCCCAAACAAGUGAAUUUUCAGGAGCAAUGUGUGGGAGAAUGUCAAACCCGUUUUACAGUGGCAGAUAUAUGUUCGUUGAACUGUCUUCAGGGUGAUGAAA